CGGCGACCCUAACAUCGAGGCGCCCGCGCGGUCCCA
rnacentral:misc_RNA from 1 species